AUGAAGUUUUCGGAUGGAUUUAAAGCAGCUUAGUGGCGGACGGGUGAGUAACGCGUGGGUAACCUGCCUCACACUGGGGGAUAACAGUUAGAAAUAGCUGCUAAUACCGCAUAAGCGCACAGCUUCGCAUGAAGCAGUGUGAAAAACUCCGGUGGUACAAGAUGGACCCGCGUCUGAUUAGGUAGUUGGUGGGGUAACGGCCUACCAAGCCAACGAUCAGUAGCCGACCUGAGAGGGUGACCGGCCACAUUGGGACUGAGACACGGCCCAAACUCC
rnacentral:rRNA from 1 species